UCUCUCUAUCAUGCUCCCUCAUGGUUCCCACAAUUCCAAGCACAGUAUGAUGUGCUGUGCUGGGAAUUGUGGGAACCGCAAGGGAGCAUGAUAGAGAG